UUUAAUAAUAAGAUUAUUUAUUUUUUUUGUUUAUUUUAUAUUUUAUAAUUUAAUUAUAAUUAUUUUUUAUUGUUUGAGUAUAUUUUAUAGAAAAAAUUUUUAGAAUUAUAGUUUAAUAUUAUUGUAAAAGAAUUUUGAAAUAUUAUGAAAUUUAUUUAAUUAAAAGUAAUAUUUAAUUUAUGUACCUUGUGUAUCAGGGUUUAUUAAAAUUAUUUCAAUUAAAUUGAAUUUUUCUAAUUUAAAAGAUCUAAAUAUUUAUGAAAUUUUUAUUGUAUCAUUAAUAUUUUAAAUUAAUAUUUAGUAAUGAAAUGUUAUUCGUUUUUAAAGUUAUUUAAUUUUUUAAUAAAUAAAUUUAAUUUAUAUAUUAAUUUUUGAAUUAAUAAUUUUUUAUUAUUAUUUUAUUUUAAUAUUUAUAUUUUAGGGGAUAAGCUUUAAAAUAAAUUAUUAUAAUAUUUAUUUUUAAAUUAUGUAUUAAUAUAUUGUAGUCUUAAAAAUAGAUUUUAUAUAAAAAUGUUUUAAUUUAUUAUUGAUUUUAUAAAAUUUAAUUUUAAUUUAAUUUUUUAUUAAAAUUUUUAAUUAAAUAAAUUUAUUUAAUUAAAGAUGAUAAAAUUAGUAAAUUUAUUUAUUUAUAAAUAAAAAUUAUUUGUUAGGUUAAUUUAAGGAAUUCGGCAAAAAUUUAUAUUUGCUUGUUUAACAAAAACAUCGUUUUUUGAAUAUAAUUUAAAAUCUGAUCUGCUCAAUGAAUUUAAAGUUUAAAUAGCCGCAGUAUUUUGACUGUGCAAAGGUAGCAUAAUAAUUAGUCUUUUAAUUGAAGGCUGGAAUGAAAGAUUUGACAAGAUAUAAACUGUCUUAAUUUAAAUUUAAUUGAAUUUAAUUUUUAAGUUAAAAAGCUUAAAUUUAUUUAAAGGACGAGAAGACCCUAUAGAGUUUUAUAAUUUAUUAAAUUUGAUAAUUUAAAUUUUAUUUUAAAUUUGAUAAAUUAUUUUGUUGGGGUGAUAGGAAAAUUUAAUAAACUUUUUUAUAAAUUUUACAUUUAUUUAUGAAUUUUUGAUCCUGAAUUUUUGGAUUAAUAGAUUAAAUUACCUUAGGGAUAACAGCGUAAUUUUUUUUAGAGUUCUUAUCGAUUUAAAAGAUUGCGACCUCGAUGUUGGAUUAAAAUUUAAUUUAGGUGAAGAAGCUUAAAAUUUAGGUCUGUUCGACCUUUAAAAUUUUACAUGAUCUGAGUUCAAACCGGUGUAAGCCAGGUUGGAUUCUAUCCUUAAAUUUUUAUUAAGUUUUUAGUACGAAAGGAAUUAAAUUUAAAUUUGUAAUUUAUAUAAUUGAUUAAAAUUAAAAUUUUUG
rnacentral:rRNA from 1 species